GGCUACAAUAACAAUUCAAAUUCAAGAGAGUGCGUACAUCCGAACAGAAAGUGUCUGCGCACAUCCGCAGAAUUAAAAACGCCUUCUUCUCAGCCAUAGCUUAGCUAUAAAAACAAGAAAGUGACUUUGGAUUUGUUCAUCGACUGACAAGAACUUCUGACUUUUAAGAAACCUGAAAAACAAUGGCUUCAACUAAAUCUAAGCCCGGUGGUUGGACCCCCCCAAAACCCAGAGGAUCCAACAAUCGUAAAAAUGGCGACGAAAGCAGCUCAUACAUUAUGGCCAGAUCUUUUCAUGGACCGAGUAGUAAAGGCUGAAUCGCAGGUCGUUGCAGGUACGAACUACCGCAUGGAUAUCCUGCUGUACAGAAUCAUAAAUGAUCGGGUGACAUGGAAGCAAACCGUGCAGGUGUUUGAGCCUCUCCCAGGCUCGAAUUGACGAAGAUGUUGAAUGUGGUUAAAUGCGAAUAGCUACCACAUCUGAAUUACACCGGAAUUGUUUUGCAUAUGGGGCGUGCAUGUUUUACAAACAGCCCUUGUUAUGUAUUUUGUUAACUGAAAAAUAACAAUCUACGCCGAUGUUCACUUUUAUUAGAAUACGAAAACAUGUAUUAACGUGACAAGUAUCUCAAAUUGUAUAAUUUUUACUCAUGUAAACAUUAUAUAUGGUCAAUUUUUUGUAGACGUUGUAUUCAUUUAGACAAUGAAAAUUAAAAAAGGCAUUAUUUAUAGCCAUACAAAUGUGUUUUUCACAAGUACUUGUAUGAUUUUUUUCACUUUGUCAUUCUACUUUGAUUUACAUUAUCCCUUGUAAGAGUUGUAAAUUUUUGAUGCUUUUCUGCAUUGCCGUAGUCAAUAAUGGGAACUACAAUAAUGCAACUUUAAGACUAUCUUGAUUCUGUA